GGUUGUAGCUUAGUGGUAGAGCACUUGCCUAGCAUGUGUGAGGCACUGGGUUCAAUUCCCAGCACCA
rnacentral:tRNA from 1 species